rnacentral:rRNA from 1 species
GACGAACGCUGGCGGCGUGCCUAAUACAUGCAAGUUGAGCGCUGAAGGAUGGUACUUGUACCAACUGGAUGAGCAGCGAACGGGUGAGUAACGCGUGGGGAAUCUGCCUUUGAGCGGGGGACAACAUUUGGAAACGAAUGCUAAUACCGCAUAAAAACUUUAAACACAAGUUUUAAGUUUGAAAGAUGCAAUUGCAGCACUCAAAGAUGAUCCCGCGUUGUAUUAGCUAGUUGGUGAGGUAAAGGCUCACCAAGGCGAUGAUACAUAGCCGACCUGAGAGGGUGAUCGGCCCCAUUGGGACUGAGACACGGCCCAAACUCCUACGGGAGGCAGCAGUAGGGAAUCUUCGGCAAUGGACGAAAGUCUGACCGAGCAACGCCGCGUGAGUGAAGAAGGUUUUCGGAUCGUAAAACUCUGUUGGUAGAGAAGAACGUUGGUGAGAGUGGAAAGCUCAUCAAGUGACGGUAACUACACAGAAAGGGACGGCUAACUACGUG